UACGGAGGGGGCAAGCGUUACUCGGAAUUAUUGGGCGUAAAGGGCGCGUAGGCGGUCGUGCGCGUCGGAGGUGAAAUCCCCGGGCUUAACCCGGGAGCUGCCUCCGAUACGGCAUGGCUUGAGUCCGGGAGAGGGGAGCAGAAUUCCCAGUGUAGCGGUGAAAUGCGUAGAUAUUGGGAGGAACACCGGUGGCGAAGGCGGCUACCUGGACCGGUACUGACGCUGAGGCGCGAAAGCGUGGGGAGCGAACAGG
rnacentral:rRNA from 1 species